UACGUAGGCAGCGAGCGUUGUUCGGAAUUACUGGGCGUAAAGAGUGUGUAGGCGGUGCUCUAAGUCUGGCGUGAAAUCUCCCGGCUUAACUGGGAGGGUGCGGCGGAAACUAGUGUGCUAGAGGGUGGGAGAGGAAAGCGGAAUUCCUGGUGUAGCGGUGAAAUGCGUAGAUAUCAGGAGGAACACCUGCGGUGUAGACAGCUUUCUGGACCACAUCUGACGCUGAGACACGAAAGCGUGGGUAGCAAACAGG
rnacentral:rRNA from 1 species